rnacentral:rRNA from 1 species
AGAGUUUGAUCCUGGCUCAGGAUGAACGCUGGCGGCGUGCCUAAUACAUGCAAGUCGAACGCUUCACUUCGGUGAAGAGUGGCGAACGGGUGAGUAAUACAUAAGUAACCUGGCAUCUACAGGGGGAUAACUGAUGGAAACGUCAGCUAAGACCGCAUAGGUGUAGAGAUCGCAUGAACUCUAUAUGAAAAGUGCUACGGGACUGGUAGAUGAUGGACUUAUGGCGCAUUAGCUUGUUGGUAGGGUAACGGCCUACCAAGGCGACGAUGCGUAGCCGACCUGAGAGGGUGACCGGCCACACUGGGACUGAGACACGGCCCAGACUCCUACGGGAGGCAGCAGUAGGGAAUUUUCGGCAAUGGGGGAAACCCUGACCGAGCAACGCCGCGUGAAGGAAGAAGUAAUUCGUUAUGUAAACUUCUGUCAUAGAGGAAGAACGGUGGAUAUAGGGAAUGAUAUCCAAGUGACGGUACUCUAUAAGAAAGCCACGGCUAACUACGUGCCAGCAGCCGCGGUAAUACGUAGGUGGCGAGCGUUAUCCGGAAUUAUUGGGCGUAAAGAGGGAGCAGGCGGCACUAAGGGUCUGUGGUGAAAGAUCGAAGCUUAACUUCGGUAAGCCAUGGAAACCGUAGAGCUAGAGUGUGUGAGAGGAUCGUGGAAUUCCAUGUGUAGCGGUGAAAUGCGUAGAUAUAUGGAGGAACACCAGUGGCGAAGGCGACGAUCUGGCGCAUAACUGACGCUCAGUCCCGAAAGCGUGGGGAGCAAAUAGGAUUAGAUACCCUAGUAGUCCACGCCGUAAACGAUGAGUACUAAGUGUUG